rnacentral:rRNA from 1 species
GGUGAACGCUGGCGGCGUGCCUAAUACAUGCAGUCGAGCGAACAGAUAAGGAGCUUGCUCCUUUGACGUUAGCGGCGGACGGGUGAGUAACACGUGGAUAACCUACCUAUAAGACUGGGAUAACUUCGGGAAACCGGAGCUAAUACCGGAUAACAUAUUGAACCGCAUGGUUCAAUAGUGAAAGGCGGCUUUGCUGUCACUUAUAGAUGGAUCCGCGCCGUAUUAGCUAGUUGGUAAGGUAACGGCUUACCAAGGCAACGAUACGUAGCCGACCUGAGAGGGUGAUCGGCCACACUGGAACUGAGACACGGUCCAGACUCCUACGGGAGGCAGCAGUAGGGAAUCUUCCGCAAUGGGCGAAAGCCUGACGGAGCAACGCCGCGUGAGUGAUGAAGGUCUUCGGAUCGUAAAACUCUGUUAUCAGGGAAGAACAAAUGUGUAAGUAACUGUGCACAUCUUGACGGUACCUGAUCAGAAAGCCACGGCUAACUACGUGCCAGCAGCCGCGGUAAUACGUAGGUGGCAAGCGUUAUCCGGAAUUAUUGGGCGUAAAGCGCGCGUAGGCGGUUUUUUAAGUCUGAUGUGAAAGCCCACGGCUCA